GUAUAGAUAUAGCUAUCUAGAUGGAGAAUUGAUUGCAUUGCUGCCAUUUUGAAGAGGUGUUUGGAGCAGUGUUUGGAGCAGUGUUUGGAGCAUGGCGAGGUGUUUUGGAGCAGCAUUCAGUGGACCCCAUUCAACACCAAACAACAAGGCAUUGCUUCUCAUAAUUGUUGACAUCCAUUACUCGAGGGGUUUCAGAUGAGAAGAGAAGAUGAUGGGAGGAUGAUGAAGGUCAGGAAAGUCAUCUGACGUCCUGCUGACAUCCACGAUCCGUCCCCAGGGCUCCUGCACACACCGGAGCAAUCAUCACAGAUAAAACGUCCUCACGCUGGGGUUUAUGGGCGCCAUUAUCAGGAUCAACACGUCAAUGAGCAAGUCUUCGUGAGCAGAAGCCCAACGUUCUACACAGAGCUUAGCAAGAACACAGACGGGUUGCACGUUCUUCGAUCGGACAGACGAGAGCCGCUUUCAGACCUGUUCGUCCGAAUCAGAGUGAAACUGAUUCUUGUGGUUUGUUUGAUUUUUGCUUUCACGCAGAACCG
ensembl:lncRNA